UGGGGAAUAUUGGACAAUGGGCGCAAGCCUGAUCCAGCCAUGCCGCGUGAGUGAUGAAGGCCCUAGGAUUGUAAAGCGCUUUCACCGGUGAAGAUAAUGACGGUAACCGGGGAAGAAGCCCCGGCUAACUUCGUGCCAGCAGCCGCGGUAAUACGAAGGGGGCUAGCGUUGUACGGAUUUACUGGGCGUAAAGCGCACGUAGGCGGACUUUUAAGUCAGGGGUGAAAUCCCGGGGCUUAACCCCGGAACUGCCUUUGAUACUGGAAGUCUUGAGUAUGGUAGAGGUGAGUGGAAUUCCGUGUGUAGAGGUGAAAUUCGUAGAUAUUCGGAGGAACACCAGUGGCGAAGGCGGCUCACUGGACCAUUACUGACGCUGAGGUGCGAAAGCGUGGGGAUCAAACAGG
rnacentral:rRNA from 1 species